GUUUGGGGCAAUGCUCUUCCCAGAUUUCUACAUCCCUGGCACAAGUUGAACCAGUUGGUUUAGGAUGUUCAUUUACCUACUUACAUGUGUAUCUAUUGUAAACAGCACCUUUUUUUUUAAAUUCAAUCAGUAUCAGCUGGGGUCACCCGCAUGGCUGCGUUCCGCUGGCUCAUGGGCUGGGUUGGAAAGAAGACAUGGCUGCCUCACCAAGGGCUGGAGACUUGGA